GGGCGCACGGUGGAUGCCUUGACACUAGGAGUCGAUGAAGGACGGGACUAACGCCGAUAUGCUUCGGGGAGCUGUAAGUAAGCUUUGAUCCGAAGAUUUCCGAAUGGGGAAACCCACCAUACGUAAUGGUAUGGUAUCCUUAUCUGAAUACAUAGGGUAAGGAAGACAGACCCAGGGAACUGAAACAUCUAAGUACCUGGAGGAAGAGAAAGCAAAUGCGAUUUCCUGAGUAGCGGCGAGCGAAACGGAACAUAGCCCAAACCAAGAGGCUUGCCUCUUGGGGUUGUAGGACAUUCUAUACGGAGUUACAAAGGAACGAGGUAGACGAAGCGACCUGGAAAGGUCCGUCGUAGAGGGUAACAACCCCGUAGUCGAAACUUCGUUCUCUCUUGAAUGUAUCCUGAGUACGGCGGAACACGUGAAAUUCCGUCGGAAUCUGGGAGGACCAUCUCCCAAGGCUAAAUACUCCCUAGUGAUCGAUAGUGAACCAGUACCGUGAGGGAAAGGUGAAAAGCACCCCGGAAGGGGAGUGAAAGAGAUCCUGAAACCGUGUGCCUACAAAUAGUCAGAGCCCGUUAACGGGUGAUGGCGUGCCUUUUGUAGAAUGAACCGGCGAGUUACGAUCCCGUGCGAGGUUAAGCUGAAGAGGCGGAGCCGCAGCGAAAGCGAGUCUGAAUAGGGCGUUUAGUACGUGGUCGUAGACCCGAAACCAGGUGAUCUACCCAUGUCCAGGGUGAAGUUCAGGUAACACUGAAUGGAGGCCCGAACCCACGCACGUUGAAAAGUGCGGGGAUGAGGUGUGGGUAGCGGAGAAAUUCCAAUCGAACCUGGAGAUAGCUGGUUCUCCCCGAAAUAGCUUUAGGGCUAGCCUUAAGUGUAAGAGUCUUGGAGGUAGAGCACUGAUUGGACUAGGGGUCCUCAUCGGAUUACCGAAUUCAGUCAAACUCCGAAUGCCAAUGACUUAUCCUUAGGAGUCAGACUGCGAGUGAUAAGAUCCGUAGUCAAAAGGGAAACAGCCCAGACCGCCAGCUAAGGUCCCAAAGUGUGUAUUAAGUGGAAAAGGAUGUGGAGUUGCUUAGACAACUAGGAUGUUGGCUUAGAAGCAGCCACCAUUUAAAGAGUGCGUAAUAGCUCACUAGUCGAGUGACUCUGCGCCGAAAAUGUACCGGGGCUAAAUACACCACCGAAGCUGCGGAUUGAUACCAAUGGUAUCAGUGGUAGGGGAGCGUUCUAAGGACAGUGAAGUCAGACCGGAAGGACUGGUGGAGUGCUUAGAAGUGAGAAUGCCGGUAUGAGUAGCGAAAGACGGGUGAGAAUCCCGUCCACCGAAUGCCUAAGGUUUCCUGAGGAAGGCUCGUCCGCUCAGGGUUAGUCAGGACCUAAGCCGAGGCCGACAGGCGUAGGCGAUGGACAACAGGUUGAUAUUCCUGUACCACCUCUUUAUCGUUUGAGCAAUGGAGGGACGCAGAAGGAUAGAAGAAGCGUGCGAUUGGUUGUGCACGUCCAAGCAGUUAGGCUGAUAAGUAGGCAAAUCCGCUUAUCGUGAAGGCUGAGCUGUGAUGGGGAAGCUCCUUAUGGAGCGAAGUCUUUGAUUCCCCGCUGCCAAGAAAAGCUUCUAGCGAGAUAAAAGGUGCCUGUACCGCAAACCGACACAGGUAGGCGAGGAGAGAAUCCUAAGGUGUGCGAGAGAACUCUGGUUAAGGAACUCGGCAAAAUGACCCCGUAACUUCGGGAGAAGGGGUGCUUUCUUAACGGAAAGCCGCAGUGAAUAGGCCCAAGCGACUGUUUAGCAAAAACACAGCUCUCUGCGAAGCCGUAAGGCGAAGUAUAGGGGGUGACACCUGCCCGGUGCUGGAAGGUUAAGGAGAGGGGUUAGCGUAAGCGAAGCUCUGAACUGAAGCCCCAGUAAACGGCGGCCGUAACUAUAACGGUCCUAAGGUAGCGAAAUUCCUUGUCGGGUAAGUUCCGACCCGCACGAAAGGUGUAACGAUUUGGGCACUGUCUCAACCAGAGACUCGGUGAAAUUAUAGUACCUGUGAAGAUGCAGGUUACCCGCGACAGGACGGAAAGACCCCGUGGAGCUUUACUGUAGCCUGAUAUUGAAUUUUGGUACAGUUUGUACAGGAUAGGCGGGAGCCUUUGAAACCGGAGCGCUAGCUUCGGUGGAGGCGCUGGUGGGAUACCGCCCUGACUGUAUUGAAAUUCUAACCUACGGGUCUUAUCGACCCGGGAGACAGUGUCAGGUGGGCAGUUUGACUGGGGCGGUCGCCUCCUAAAGUGUAACGGAGGCGCCCAAAGGUUCCCUCAGAAUGGUUGGAAAUCAUUCGUAGAGUGCAAAGGCAUAAGGGAGCUUGACUGCGAGACCUACAAGUCGAGCAGGGACGAAAGUCGGGCUUAGUGAUCCGGUGGUUCCGCAUGGAAGGGCCAUCGCUCAACGGAUAAAAGCUACCCCGGGGAUAACAGGCUUAUCUCCCCCAAGAGUCCACAUCGACGGGGAGGUUUGGCACCUCGAUGUCGGCUCAUCGCAUCCUGGGGCUGUAGUCGGUCCCAAGGGUUGGGCUGUUCGCCCAUUAAAGCGGUACGCGAGCUGGGUUCAGAACGUCGUGAGACAGUUCGGUCCCUAUCCGUCGUGGGCGUAGGAAAUUUGAGAGGAGCUGUCCUUAGUACGAGAGGACCGGGAUGGACGCACCGCUGGUGUACCAGUUGUUCUGCCAAGGGCAUAGCUGGGUAGCUAUGUGCGGAAGGGAUAAGUGCUGAAAGCAUCUAAGCAUGAAGCCCACCUCAAGAUGAGAUUUCCCAUAGCGUAAGCUAGUAAGAUCCCUGAAAGAUGAUCAGGUUGAUAGGUUCGAGGUGGAAGCAUGGUGACAUGUGGAGCUGACGAAUACUAAUAGAUCGAGGACUUAACCAU
rnacentral:rRNA from 1 species